GCCAGUUUAGCACCAUGGGUCUCAGAGGUAGGAAGCAUGCUGGGACCUCUCUCUGGACACAAUGUCCUAGACUGCUUCACAGCUUGGCUGACUGACAGGGAACAGUGGCUGGCAGAGGGUGUGGGCAGCUGGCCGACUGGGUGGGGGGCAGCCAGUCUGAGCAAAGGGCUUGUUCUAACAACCUGUCCUGCCACCUUGGCCAAGGAGAGGGCCAGCUCUUUGGAGGAAGGAAUCUGACAUCCCCUGGGGACCUUGGCAAUCCCUCUCUACCUCCUACCUGUUUCCCUGGAUCACGGACUGCUAUCAUUUGAGCAAAAUUCUCAUGAGAACAGAACCCCAAAAUGCUGGCCCGGAUUCCUUACCUCACGUCCUUACUAGCUGUGUGGGUUAAGUUACAACCUCUCUGACUCCUCUCCUCCAUUUUUGUUUUGUUUUGAAAUUCUGAGACAGGGUCUCACUAUGCAGCCUUGACUGGCCUCGAAGUUACAGCCAUCUGCGGGCCUCUGCCUCCUGAGUGCCAGGAUUUAAGGUGCGCACCACCCACCCACCCACCCGCAUUUCAGUUCUUUAGCUGAAAAAUGGCAUCUGCUUCUUCGGGUGUGAGUGUGGAAGGCAGUGAAAUGGUGACCCCGACAAAAAGCACUGUGGAGUAAGUUUCACUAUGGUGACCGCCCGCAUUCAUAAGCAGCAAGGCUCGUGUGUGCCAGGAACUUUAACGGGCACCGUUGAAAACGCCAGAGUUGCCCCGCCACCUUCAUUUCCUACAUGAGGGACGCACCGCAGACGGGUAGAGGCUCUCCACCAGCUUCCCUUGUUGGCCAAAGUGUAAAGGUCAGCUGAGUGAGCCCUAGAGGGCUCUCAAAGGCUGGGACUGAAUCAGAGAAGGGCUAAGGGGCUCUUUGGGACCCAGUAGCUGACCCCAGAUGCCGGGGCUCAUUUAAGGUAUUGUUGGCAGAGUCUCAGGAACGUGAGCCAAGUACUUAGGAAAGCUGGACUUCUUGGGGGCGGUGGGGGGGAGGGUUGGAGGGGGGGUUAGGUGGUGGUUACAGGACAGAGGAGUGGAGUCGGUGUUUCAGGAGUACCUGCGCAUGAGGUCCUCGGCCUCAGCUCCACGCCCCACCCCCACUCCCUGCCAGGCCACAGUUCGAUUCCUGCGGCCUCCUUGCGAUGAGGAUGAGAUCCGCCUUGAGGAUAUUUAUCUGGGCCCUGCAGCCUAGAGCCGGUUCUGCGGGUGCCAGGGCUGGCACAGACCCUCACUCCUGGAAAAGAAGGAAGUGGGGGUGGGGGUGGGGUGGGGCAAGACCGUGGCGGAUUACAGACUGCAUUUUCUCUCUUGAUCAGGGCAUCGUCCUCUACUUCUGUGCUGCCCCAGGGAGGCGCCCCUAAAGCAGGGUUGCAGUCACUGCAAGGCUGCUCAACACUGCUGGAUCCAGGUUUCCACAACAGUCACCCCCCACCCCACCCCGAAACCUCAGCGCGCGCACUUAUACACGGGUCACCUUAGCAAAAGCUGAGGUUCUGGGUUCUCAGAGUUUGGUUUGAUUUUGCUUUGUUUUCUAACAGUCAGUCGUUAGACAUCCCAGGCUGGCCACUGAACCCACGAGAGUCUGUUUACCUCCAAAGUGUCUCUCUCCAAACUGUCUCUUUAUAAACUCUCCCCAGAGUUUAUAAAGUUUGGGAACCAAGUCAGGUAGGAGGGGCAGGCCGGGGAUUGAGGCUGCAUUGAUUUUAUGAGGUGGGUGGAAAGUCGGGGCAGAGAGCAUGUGAUAGAUAGAUGGAGGACAGAUGGGGCCAGGAACAGCCAGUCUUGACCUUUCAGUCCCCAGCCCUUUAAUGCUUACUACUAGAUACAGCCAACCCCAGCCUGGACCUGGACCUUGCCCCCAUUUAUCAGGUUUGGAGAGGACAUGAGACUCGAACAAAGCCCGUUCCAGAAUGCGGCGGACUCAAGACCCAAUUUAAUUCCUUUAUCCUGGCAUUGGUUAGACAUUGACACCAGGAUUGGAGAGAUGAAUAAAAAUGAGGGUACAGCUAUUAAGAAAAGGUUGGCCCAGGAAGAGAAAAACCAUAGCAAUAAUCACUGCCAUUAUCAUGACUGUGGUCUGACGGCGCAGUGGUGGCUCAGGGCUAAAGCCUGCUAGAAGGUUCCUGGGCAGAGACAGGUGAGGUCAAGCCACACAGCAGAGGCAGUACAAGUAACUGUUCAGAGGCCUGAAUCAGCAAUCACUUCAGAGAUCUGGGAGCUCCUGGUGAGGCUGAGGCUUAUGGGUGCAGAUUCAAGAGAGA
rnacentral:lncRNA from 1 species